GCGUACUAAGAUUUCCUCGGGCUAGACGAAGAUUGACCCUCGAGUGCAAAGGCAGAAGGGAGCUUGACUACAAGACCCACCCGUCAAGCAGGGACGAAAGUCGACCUUAGUGAUCUGACAGUGCCAAGUGGAAGGGUCGUCGUUCAAC
rfam:Glycine max cultivar Williams 82 chromosome 20, whole genome shotgun sequence.